GUUAAAAUAUUUGGAAACUGUGAUUAUGAGGAAUUUGAUCUUGUGAAUUCACAAAGAAUUCACCUGUGCUGGUCCUCUUAACAAGAAUAUUCAGCAAGUGACAUUUCAAAGGGUUACACGUAUUCUGCCCAUGACAUUAAAAUUCCUCUUUUGACAAGCUUCUGCCAUCUGUAUUUUUGACUUCAGACAAAAGUGAAGAAUUUUUAUUUUCUGUUUCCCCCCUCUUUUUAUAUUUCCCACUCCUGCUUUGCUGAUUGUACGUGUUUAUUGGUUUCUGAACAGUAAACUUUGAUCUAAGAAUCUGAAGGGACAGAUAUAAAGGAUCUUAAGACACUUGUCUGAUUUGAACGCUUUUCAGAGUGAUUUAUGGCAAAGCUUCCUUCUGAGCUUUCCAGAUGACUUGUGUCUCACGAGAGCCUGUUUUCAAUAUCAACGUUGUCCUAAUCUUUGCAGAAUGCAAAACACGGUGCAGGUUGUUAGAUGAAAACAAUAUCCAUUGAGAUAAAAAUUAAAUGUUCAUUUUAACCCUCUGGGUGCCAGUUAGAUGGACUGCCUCUUGUGAAACCCUGUCUGAGAGUUACCAGUCAUCUUGAAACUGGAUCAUGCAAAUCUGAUAUGUGUAGCACCGAGGGCUACUCCUGGCUCCAUCCAUCAUCCAUUCUUUUGCUUUGAACUGAGCUCCCAUGACAACUGCUGGCUGGAGGUCAUGAGAGUGGAGGUAUACACAUUCAGAGAGCAUUCCAGCCAAUUAUAACACCAGUACAGCUCAAAAAGCAAUAGAGUUGCUAAACUCAAAUAGCCACACCACUGCUAAACACUGAAAUAUUUUAUUGGAUCAAUUAUUGAUUGCAGAAGAAGAAGGCAUUUUCAGUUGUAGCAUGUAUUCUUUCUACAAUUCUCAUUCUUUACUGAUUACUAAUAGAGAAGGCGUUUCCCAAAUUAUGUCAAAAAAGUAUGUUAAUAACCAGAACAUAUUAGUUAUAUAUCAGUACAUAGUAGCACAAUUUGCCAGAAUCAGGCAUGAUAAAAUAGGAUAUUUU